rnacentral:rRNA from 1 species
CCUACGGGGGGCAGCAGUGAGGAAUAUUGGUCAAUGGGCGCGAGCCUGAACCAGCCAAGUAGCGUGAAGGAUGACGGCCCUACGGGUUGUAAACUUCUUUUAUAAAGGAAUAAAGGGAGGCACGUGUGCCUUUUUGUAUGUACUUGAUGAAUAAGGAUCGGCUAACUCCGUGCCAGCAGCCGCGGUAAUACGGAGCAUCCGAGCGUUAUCCGGAUUUAUUGGGUUUAAAGGGAGCGUAGAUGGGUUGUUAAGUCAGUUGUGAAAGUUUGCGGCUCAACCGUAAAAUGGCAAUUGAUACUGGCAGCCUUGAGUACAGUUGAGGUAGGCGGACUUCGUGGUGUAGCGGUGACAUGCUUAGCUAUCAC